UACGUAGGUGGCAAGCGUUGUCCGGAAUUAUUGGGCGUAAAGGGCGCGUAGGCGGCCUUCUAAGUCAGAUGUGAAAUCCCUGGGCUUAACCCGGGUCGUGCAUUUGAAACUGGAAGGCUUGAGUGCAGGAGAGGAAAGUGGAAUUCCUAGUGUAGCGGUGAAAUGCGUAGAUAUUAGGAGGAACACCAGUGGCGAAGGCGACUUUCUGGACUGUAACUGACGCUGAGGCGCGAAAGCGU
rnacentral:rRNA from 1 species